AGCCACACAAAGAUGUCUGGCCUCUACAAAAAAAUUCACGUGAAGACUGACGCAGAUCAGGGACUUGGAGGUGCUAGCCUGCAAGCAACUUUGACGGCUGAUCUCUUCUCUUUUUUUUUAAGCACCUUGGACACUCCAAAGGAUGAAGGGAUCUAGAGGUAGAAGAGAGGAGAAGGAGAAGAUCCUCAAAAAAUAAAACACCAGCA
rnacentral:lncRNA from 1 species